GACAGAUGCCUGCCCUUUGUAUUUGGUAAAAUGAAACUGUAAGUAUGCAGCAGGAACGGGGUGCGAAGCCCCGGCUGCCCCGCAACGGUAAUGCCCCGCAGGAGCAGGGAUAAGCCCGGUCUACUGCAAACCUCGCCGCCCGGC
rnacentral:ncRNA from 2 species